GAUGAACGCUGGCGGCGUGCCUAAUACAUGCAAGUCGAACGGGGAGUAGCAAUACUCUUAGUGGCGAACGGGUGAGUAACGCGUUGGUACCUGCCCCGAAGCGGGGGAUAACGGACCGAAAGGUCCGCUAAUACCCCAUGUGCUCGGUAACGAGUAAAGGUGAAAACCACUUUGGGAGGGGCAUGCGUCCCAUCAGCUAGUUGGUAAGGUAACGGCUUACCAAGGCGAUGACGGGUAGGGGACCUGAGAGGGUGGCCCCCCACAAUGGAACUGAAACACGGACAAACCCCCGAGGGGGGGGCGCGGAAGGAAAUAUGGGGAAGGGGCGCAGGCUGAACCAACCCCCGCGGGGUGUGGAAGGCCGGCUUUGGGUUUGAAAAGCUCUUUUGACGGGGAGGGGGAGGGAGGGUACGGGUGAAAGCGGCCCCGGCUAACUACGUG
rnacentral:rRNA from 1 species